AUGCAUGUAUCAGUACAAGCCGCACUAAGGUGAAACCGCGAAUGGCUCAUUAAAUCAGUUAUUAUUUACUGGCCGAGACAGUGAUACAUGGAUAACUGUGGUAAUUCUAGAGCUAAUACAUGCAACCGAGCCCCAGUGUCAGCUCUCGGGUUGGCCGGGGCGCUUUUAUUGGCUGAAAACCGAUGGCUGCCCUCGUGGCGGUCGUUCUCCGAUGAAUCACAAUAACAUUGUGUGGAUCGCACGGUCUUGUACCGGCGACGCGCCUUUCAAAUAUCUGCCUUAUCAGCUCUCGACGGUUUGCUAGUGGCUGACCGUGGCUCUGACGGGUAACGGGGAAUCUGGGUUCGGUUCCGGAGAGGGAGCCUGAGAGAUGGCUACCACAUCUAAGGAAGGCAGCAGGCGCGUAACUUACCCACUCCCAGUUCAGGGAGGUAGUGACAAUAAAUACCUUACAGAGGUCUCGUUAACCGAGAUCUCUCAAACGGAAUGAGUACAACGUGAAUCCUUUAACGAGGAUCGACUGGAGGGCAAGCCUGGUGCCAGCAGCCGCGGUAAUUCCAGCUCCAGUAGCGUAUAUUAAAGCUGUUGCGGUUAAAAAGCUCGUAGUUGGAUAUCAGUGCGUGUCCGGUCCGGUAUGCCUAGCGGCGGCGCUCGCGCGUCACUGCUGGGCUCCCAAAUAUCGGCUGGCCGCAUUCAAUCGUGCCGGAUCCGUCGACGGGCCGUUCUUCGGAGGGGCCUGUUGGCGACCGGCGACGUUACCUUGAACAAAUUAGAGUGCUCAAAGCAGGCUCUGAAUGCCUGUAUACAUAUU
rnacentral:rRNA from 1 species